UACGUAGGCAGCGAGCGUUGUUCGGAAUUACUGGGCGUAAAGAGUGUGUAGGCGGCUUUUUAAGUCCGCCGUCAAAUCCCAGGGCUCAACCCUGGACAGGCGGUGGAAACUACCAAGCUGGAGUACGGUAGGGGCAGGGGGGAAUUUCCGGUGGAGCGGUGAAAUGCGUAGAAGAUCGGAAAGAACACCAACGGCGAAAAGCAACUCUGCUGGGCCGACACUGACACUGAGAGACGAAAGCUAGGGGAGCAAUGGG
rnacentral:rRNA from 1 species